UACGAAGGGGGCUAGCGUUGCUCGGAAUCACUGGGCGUAAAGGGUGCGUAGGCGGGUUCUUAAGUCAGGGUGAAUCCUGAGCUCAACUCCAGAACUGCCUUGAUACUGAAGAUCUUGAGUUCGGGAGAGGUGAGUGGAACUGCGAGUGUAGAGGUGAAAUCGUAGAUAUUCGCAAGAACACCAGUGGCGAAGGCGGCUCA
rnacentral:rRNA from 1 species